rnacentral:rRNA from 1 species
UGACCGCUGGCGGCGUGCCUCAUACAUGCAAGUCGAGCGAACAGACGAGGAGCUUGCUCCUCUGACGUUAGCGGCGGACGGGUGAGUAACACGUGGAUAACCUACCUAUAAGACUGGGAUAACUUCGGGAAACCGGAGCUAAUACCGGAUAAUAUAUUGAACCGCAUGGUUCAAUAGUGAAAGACGGUUUUGCUGUCACUUAUAGAUGGAUCCGCGCCGCAUUAGCUAGUUGGUAAGGUAACAGCUUACCAAGGCAACGAUGCGUAGCCGACCUGAGAGGGUGAUCGGCCACACUGGAACUGAGACACGGUCCAGACUCCUACGGGAGGCAGCAGUAGGGAAUCUUCCGCAAUGGGCGAAAGCCUGACGGAGCAACGCCGCGUGAGUGAUGAAGGUCUUCGGAUCGUAAAACUCUGUUAUUAGGGAAGAACAAAUGUGUAAGUAACUAUGCACGUCUUGACGGUACCUAAUCAGAAAGCCACGGCUAACUACGUG